CCUUAGCAAUAAAAACUAUGUUUUAGGUUAGCUCUCGUACAAUUAUUUCCCAGAAACCUUUUCUUCAAGCUCUCGUACAAUUUUUUGUCUUCAAAUUUGUUUUCAGAUUUGAUUUCCAAUUUCAUUCUUGUUUUCCCUCAUAAACCAAGUCUAAACAUAUUUUGAUUUUCACCUAAUAAUUUGAAUCGAUUUCCACCGUCGAAACCCAAAUCGGUUUUGACAUUCACCCCCAAAGUCGAUUUCGAAUUUGACCGUCAAAAUUGCUUUCGACUUUCAUCUCUAAAAUCGAAAUCGAUUCUACUUUAAUUUCUGAAAUCAAAACUAGUUUUCCUCAUAACCGAAAUCAAACUCCUGGAUCUGCCGAAAUUGAAAUUGUCGAGUUUGAAAUCAAAGUUCUUCUCUCAUUUUGUUACUACUUGUCCCAACUCCGAUGGACACCAUAUAUAUGAUCCAACCAAAGGAGAGAAAUGACAUCAAUGCAGAAAUGUACCAAUGAAAAAGAUGAUAUAGAGGAUUAAUUAUUUAAGUGGGCUAUGUGCGUGAAUGAUGAAUUUCAAGAGGACAAGUUUGAUGAUGAUUUCAUGAGGACAACGUAGUUGACAAAGAGUUCUAAGACAAAGAUGAAUGAGUUGGAUGGUUUUUUUAGAGAGGACAAGUUUGAUGAUGAUUUCAUGAGGACAACGUAGUUGACAAAGAGUUCUAAGACAAAAAUGAAUGAGUUGGAUGGUUUUUUUAGGCUUGUAUCAAUCAUUAAACUUUCAAAAAGUUAUAUCUUUUUUCAAUACUGUUAGUCAUUUUUUUUACAAAUAUGUAUUUGAAUUAAUGUAUGAAUUCAACUUUGUUAACACUUUGUAACAUAUCUUAUUAUUGGGUUAUAAUUGAUUAUAGUUACUAAAUCA